rnacentral:ncRNA from 1 species
AGAUUUUCUUAAUGGCCUUAAGUAGGGCAGCAAUUUCGGGACAUGGACGUCCCGAAAAGUCCGCUAUGAGCCCGGAUGGCGAAUUGCGGACGGUUGCGUCCAGGUAGGCAAUCUUCCUUAAGAACAUUUAGAAAAUCCAUUUUACGAAG